rnacentral:rRNA from 1 species
AGAGUUUGAUCCUGGCUCAGAUUGAACGCUGGCGGCACGCUUAACACAUGCAAGUCGAACGGGUUUGAGGAGAUAGGAUUUAUUCUAUUUUCUCCGACUAGUGGCGGACGGGUGAGUAAUGCGUAGGAACCUGCCCUGAAGAGGGGGAUAACCCGAGGAAACUCGGGCUAAAACCGCAUAAUACUCCUUGGAGGAAAGAUGCCUCGCACCUAAGUUUUUUACGAAAGAAUUUAGGGCGAGGUGUUACUUUAGGAGGGGCCUACGUUAGAUUAGCUUGUUGGUGGGGUAAAGGCCUACCAAGGCAAUGAUCUAUAGCUGUUCUGAGAGGAAGAUCAGCCACACUGGGACUGAGAUACGGCCCAGACUCCUACGGGAGGCAGCAGUGGGGAAUAUUGGACAAUGGGGGAAACCCUGAUCCAGCGAUGCCGCGUGUGUGAAGAAGGCCUGCGGGUUGUAAAGCACUUUUAAUGGGGAGGAAUAGCUUCAUGUUAAUAGCAUGAAGUAGUGACGUUACCCAUAGAAUAAGCACCGGCAAACUCUGUGCCAGCAGCCGCGGUAAUACAGAGGGUGCGAGCGUUAAUCGGAAUGACUGGGCGUAAAGGGCACGUAGGCGGUAGGACAAGUUAGAUGUGAAAUACCAGGGCUUAACCUUGGGGCUGCAUCUAAGACUGUUUUACUAGAGUUCACUAGAGGGAAGUGGAAUUUCCGGUGUAGCGGUGAAAUGCGUAGAUAUCGGAAGGAACACCAGUGGCGAAGGCGGCUUUCUGGAGUUGAACUGACGCUAAGGUGCGAAAGCGUGGGGAGCAAACAGGAUUAGAUACCCUGGUAGUCCACGCUGUAAACGAUGAGUACUAGCUGUUGGUAUGCGACGACAUAUUAGUAGCGCAGUUAACGCGAUAAGUACUCCGCCUGGGGAUUACGGCCGCAAGGCUAAAACUCAAAGGAAUUGACGGGGGCCCGCACAAGCGGUGGAGCAUGUGGUUUAAUUCGAUGCAACGCGAAGAACCUUACCUACUCUUGACAUCUAUGGAAAACCUGAGAGAUUAGGUGGUGCCAGAAAUGGAACCAUAAGACAGGUGCUGCAUGGCUGUCGUCAGCUCGUGUCGUGAGAUGUUGGGUUAAGUCCCGUAACGAGCGCAACCCUUAUCCUUAGUUACCAGCACAUUAUGGUGGGGACUCUAAGGAGACUGCUGGUGAUAAGCCGGAGGAAGGUGGGGACGACGUCAAGUCAUCAUGGCCUUUAUGAGUAGGGCUACACACGUGCUACAAUGGACAGUACAGAGGGAGGCAAAGCCGUGAGGUGGAGCGGAACUCACAAAGCUGUUCGUAGUCCGGAUUGAAGUCUGCAACUCGACUUCAUGAAGUUGGAAUCGCUAGUAAUCGCGAAUCAGAAUGUCGCGGUGAAUACGUUCCCGGGCCUUGUACACACCGCCCGUCACACCAUGGGAGUGGGUUGUACCAGAAGUGGUUAGUCUAACCUUCGGGAAGGCGAUCACCACGGUAUGAUUCAUGACUGGGGUGAAGUCGUAACAAGGUA